rnacentral:tmRNA from 1 species
GGGGGCGAUCGGCUUCGACGGGUGGUCGAAGGCGGGCGCCGCGUGCCGAGGUCGUCACCCACCUCGAUAAACCGGUGGCCACGUUGGUAGCCAUACAACUGCCGACGCAAACUACGCUCUCGCUGCCUAGCCGAAACUAGGUGAGCGACGCCCGUCCGUGACGCCUUCUAGCGGGUCGCGGGCGUCAUCAGAAGGCUGGUCCCCGGAGCGCCGCUCCGUCGUAGCCGGGGGCGAGACCCACACGGAGCUGGGCCCGGCGACUCCCGUCGCCGCGACGAGCCGGGCCGACACCGAGCGGCGGCUACGCACGUAGACGCGCUGGCCGGACGCCAUGCGGACGCGGGUUCGAUUCCCGCCGCCUCCACCA